rnacentral:rRNA from 1 species
GGUUAAGUGACUAAGCGUACACGGUGGAUGCCUAGGCAGUCAGAGGCGAUGAAGGACGUGCUAAUCUGCGAUAAGCGUCGGUGAGCUGAUAUGAAGCGUUAUUAGCCGGCGAUGUCCGAAUGGGGAAACCCAGUGCAAUCCGUUGCACUAUCGUUAAGUGAAUACAUAGCUUAACGAGGCGAACCAGGGGAACUGAAACAUCUAAGUACCCUGAGGAAAAGAAAUCAACCGAGAUUCCCCUAGUAGCGGCGAGCGAACGGGGAAGAGCCCAGAACCUGAAUCAGUUUGUGCAUUAGUGGAAGCGUCUGGAAAGUCGCGCGAUACAGGGUGAUAGCCCCGUACACGAAGGUGCACAGCUGUGAGUUCGAUGAGUAGGGCGGGACACGUGUUAUCCUGUCUGAAUAUGGGGGGACCAUCCUCCAAGGCUAAAUACUCCUGACUGACCGAUAGUGAACCAGUACCGUGAGGGAAAGGCGAAAAGAACCCCGGCGAGGGGAGUGAAAUAGAACCUGAAACCGUGUACGUACAAGCAGUGGGAGCAUCCUUUAGGGUGUGACUGCGUACCUUUUGUAUAAUGGGUCAGCGACUUAUAUUUUGUAGCAAGGUUAACCGAAUAGGGGAGCCGUAGGGAAACCGAGUCUUAACUGGGCGUCUAGUUGCAAGGUAUAGACCCGAAACCCGGUGAUCUAGCCAUGGGCAGGUUGAAGGUUGGGUAACACUAACUGGAGGACCGAACCGACUAAUGUUGAAAAAUUAGCGGAUGACUUGUGGCUGGGGGUGAAAGGCCAAUCAAACCGGGAGAUAGCUGGUUCUCCCCGAAAGCUAUUUAGGUAGCGCCUCGUGAACUCAUCUUCGGGGGUAGAGCACUGUUUCGGCUAGGGGGUCAUCCCGACUUACCAACCCGAUGCAAACUACGAAUACCGAAGAAUGUUAUCACGGGAGACACACGGCGGGUGCUAACGUCCGUCGUGAAGAGGGAAACAACCCAGACCGCCAGCUAAGGUCCCAAAGUCAUGGUUAAGUGGGAAACGAUGUGGGAAGGCAUAGACAGCCAGGAUGUUGGCUUAGAAGCAGCCAUCAUUUAAAGAAAGCGUAAUAGCUCACUGGUCGAGUCGGCCUGCGCGGAAGAUGUAACGGGGCUAAACCAUGCACCGAAGCUGCGGCAGCGACGCUUAGGCGUUGUUGGGUAGGGGAGCGUUCUGUAAGCCUGCGAAGGUGGCCUGUGAGGGCUGCUGGAGGUAUCAGAAGUGCGAAUGCUGACAUAAGUAACGAUAAAGCGGGUGAAAAGCCCGCUCGCCGGAAGACCAAGGGUUCCUGUCCAACGUUAAUCGGGGCAGGGUAAGUCGACCCCUAAGGCGAGGCUGAAAAGCGUAGUCGAUGGGAAACAGGUUAAUAUUCCUGUACUUGGUGUUAUUGCGAAGGGGGACGGAGAAGGCUAGACCGGCCGGGCGACGGUUGUCCCGGUUUAAGCGUGUAGGUGGGGUAACUUGGCAAAUCCGGUUACCUUUAACACUGAGGCGUGAUGACGAGGCACUACGGUGCUGAAGUGGUUAAUGCCCUGCUUCCAGGAAAAGCCUCUAAGCUCCAGAUAACACUGAAUCGUACCCCAAACCGACACAGGUGGUCAGGUAGAGAAUACCAAGGCGCUUGAGAGAACUCGGGUGAAGGAACUAGGCAAAAUGGUGCCGUAACUUCGGGAGAAGGCACGCUGGCACGUAGGUGAAGUCCCUUGCGGAUGGAGCCGAAGCCAGUCGAAGAUACCAGCUGGCUGCAACUGUUUAAUAAAAACACAGCACUCUGCAAACACGAAAGUGGACGUAUAGGGUGUGACGCCUGCCCGGUGCUGGAAGGUUAAUUGAUGGGGUCAGCCGCAAGGCGAAGCUCUUGAUCGAAGCCCCAGUAAACGGCGGCCGUAACUAUAACGGUCCUAAGGUAGCGAAAUUCCUUGUCGGGUAAGUUCCGACCUGCACGAAUGGCGUAAUGAUGGCCAGGCUGUCUCCACCCGAGACUCAGUGAAAUUGAACUCGCUGUGAAGAUGCAGUGUACCCGCGGCAAGACGGAAAGACCCCGUGAACCUUUACUAUAGCUUGACACUGAACAUUGAACCUUGAUGUGUAGGAUAGGUGGGAGGCUUUGAAGUGUGGACGCCAGUCUGCAUGGAGCCGACCUUGAAAUACCACCCUUUAAUGUUUGAUGUUCUAACCUGGUCCCGUGAUCCGGGAUAGGGACAGUGUCUGGUGGGUAGUUUGACUGGGGCGGUCUCCUCCCAAAGAGUAACGGAGGAGCACGAAGGUUAGCUAAUCCUGGUCGGACAUCAGGAGGUUAGUGCAAAGGCAUAAGCUAGCUUGACUGCGAGAGUGACGGCUCGAGCAGGUGCGAAAGCAGGUCUUAGUGAUCCGGUGGUUCUGAAUGGAAGGGCCAUCGCUCAACGGAUAAAAGGUACUCCGGGGAUAACAGGCUGAUACCGCCCAAGAGUUCAUAUCGACGGCGGUGUUUGGCACCUCGAUGUCGGCUCAUCACAUCCUGGGGCUGAAGUAGGUCCCAAGGGUAUGGCUGUUCGCCAUUUAAAGUGGUACGCGAGCUGGGUUUAGAACGUCGUGAGACAGUUCGGUCCCUAUCUGCCGUGGGCGUUGGAAGAUUGAGAGGGGCUGCUCCUAGUACGAGAGGACCGGAGUGGACGCACCGCUGGUGUUCGGGUUGUGAUGCCAAUUGCAUUGCCCGGUAGCUACGUGCGGAAAAGAUAAGCGCUGAAAGCAUCUAAGCGCGAAACUUGCCUCGAGAUGAGUCUUCCCUUGGACCUUGAGUCCACUGAAGGAACGUUUAAGACUAAGACGUUGAUAGGCUGGGUGUGUAAGCGUAGCGAUACGUUGAGCUAACCAGUACUAAUGAUCCGUGAGACUUAACCUU